GUGGGGGAUAUUGCGCAAUGGGGGAAACCCUGACGCAGCAACGCCGCGUGAAGGAAGAAGGUCUUCGGAUUGUAAACUUUUGUCUUGUGGGAAGAUAAUGACGGUACCACAGGAGGAAGCUCCGGCUAACUACGUGCCAGCAGCCGCGGUAAUACGUAGGGAGCGAGCGUUGUCCGGAUUUACUGGGUGUAAAGGGUGCGUAGGCGGCUGAUUAAGUCAGGUGUGAAAUACCGCAGCUUAACUGCGGGGCUGCACUUGAAACUGAUCGGCUUGAGUGAUGGAGAGGUAAGCGGAAUUCCUAGUGUAGCGGUGAAAUGCGUAGAUAUUAGGAGGAACACCAGUGGCGAAGGCGGCUUACUGGACAUUAACUGACGCUGAGGCACGAAAGCGUGGGGAGCAAACAGGAUUAGAAACCCCAGUAGUCC
rnacentral:rRNA from 1 species